GGCAACGUAGCCGAGCUGUUACGGCGCCACGUUAGGUUUAACCCUUGAUACAAUCUCUCGGUUCCGUGGUCCUAAGGGGCGUGAGUUCAAAUCUCACCGUUAUCA